CUUUUCAGUUUUUCCAUUUUAUUUGAAACAUUAAGUUGGCAUUUCUGACCAGCCUUUCUUGAGACUGUCAUUUCUUGGGCUCUUACUGUAGAGACGAAUCAGCACCCUAGCCUGCUCCAGCCCACCCCAUGUAACACUAAAGAGUCAAAUGGUGUUUGGCAAUAACAAAAUAUUAGUGACUGAUAAAUUAGUAAAUUUAUUAAAAUGGUCAGUGAAAGGAAACAGCCAACUUAGUUGUGAAGUGGAGAAGAAAUGUGAGGCAUUGGUUGUCUGAAAUCUUGUAUGUUGUGGUUUACCACAGGGGCUUGGCAUCAGUGUUUACUCACAGCACUGCUUUUUAUAAAAUGGAUGACCUUGGGCAGAUUACUCAAUCUUUUAGCCUUAAUUUUUAAAUGUGUAAAAUGGAGAAAAUUAGAGUAUGUAGUCCAGGUGCAGUGGCUCACAAUUGUGAGUAUCUAUGUACUUUGGGAGGCUGAGGCAGGUGGAUUAUUUGAGUCUGAGUUUAAGACCAGCGAAGGCAACAUGAUAAAACCCCAUCUCUAAAAAUAUAUAUAAAAAUGAGCCGGGCAUGGUGGCACAGGCCUGUAGUCCCAGCUACUAGGGAGGCUGAAGUGGGAGGAUCAAUUGAGCUUGCAGAGUUGCUGCAGUGAGCCAUGAUCUUGCCACUGAAUUCCAACCUGGGAAACAGAGUGAGACCUUGUCUCAAGUAAAUAAAUAAAUAAAGUAUGUAUUUCCUAGGGUUCUUCUUCUUUUUUUUUUUUUUUUUUUAAAUAGACUGAGUCUCACUCUGUUGCCCAGGCUGCUGUGCAGUGGCGCUAUCUUGGCUCAUCACAACCUCUGCCUCCCAGGUUCAAACAAUUCUCAUGCCUCAGCCUCCGAAGUAGCUGGGAUUACGGGCAUAUGACACCAUGCCCAGCUAAUUUUUAUAUUUUUAGUAGAGACAGGGUUUUACCAUAUUGGCCAGGCUGGUCUUAAACUCCAGACCUCAGUUGAUCUAUCCACAUCGGCCUCCCAAAGUUGCUGAGAUUACAGGCCUGCGCCACUGUGCAUGGCCUUCUUAGAGUUCUUAAGAAGAAUAAAGAGAUAAACUGGUAAAACAUGUAAAUACUUUUGGGAGAGUAUGUUAAAUAAUUAGUGUUGCUAAAUAAUAAGUUACAGGCAUCAUUUAACUGGAAAUCUUCCUUAACCACUAAGCCCACCUUCUAGAUAUGCUAAGGUGGCUCAGAAUAACAAUAGCAGUGAGCAUUUGUAGAGUUUACACAGCAUUUCAUUUGAUUUCCACAAUUAACUCUAAGGUAGGUAGUGCAUAGCUGUUGACUUAUUUUUGGAGAUGGAGGAGAAAAGAGAAGCAGGAACUCAGCUGAACAAGGCAGCAGAGAGAAAAGCCCCUAGGUUCAUGGCUGGCACUGAAGAGAGAAAACCAUAGUCUGGGGAAAGGCCUAAUGUGAGAAGUUAGUCUGUGUGCCUGGGAAGCAGGACAGUCAUUUCUCCAGCACAGAUUCUUGUUCCUCAGCUUCCUCAGUCCCUGGAACUCGCUUGUUCUUUCUUGUGCUCCAAACCAUAGAGCUUGAAACUGGCAAGUGCUCAGUUGCGCUGCCAACAGGGAAAGCAAUGGGAGCUCAAGUUUCCAGAAUCCUCUGCAACUUAGUGCGAGUAAAAGCCAAGGCAGAGACAGUGUCUUGCCCUGUCAUCCAGGCUGGAGUGCAGUGGUAGCAUCACAACUCACUGCAGCCUCAAAGUCUUGAGCUCAAGGAAUCCUUGCAUCUCAGCCACCUGAGUAGCUGGGACUACAGGAGUGCACCACCAUGUCCUGCUAAUUUUUUUUAUUUUUUAUUUUUUGGAGAGACAGGGAUCUAGGGUGGACUUGAACUCCUGCUCUCAAGCAAUCCUCCCUCCUUGGCUCCCAAAGUGUUGGGAUUACAGGUGUGAGCCACUCUACCUGGCUGAGACUUGCUCUUAUAAUCUCAUUUUUAAAUUCAAAAUUUUUUUUUCAUAGACUGAGCACCUAUGGAAAAAGGUUGGCUCAGGUUUAUAAUCCCAGCACUUUGGGAGGCCUAGGUGAGUGGAUCACCUGAGGUCCGGAGUUCGAGACCAGGUGAAACUCAGUCUCUACUAAAAAUACAAAAAUUAUCUGGGCAUGAUGGCAUAUGCCUGUGAUCCCAGCUGUUCCAGAGGCUAAGGCAGGAGAAUCACGAGCCCAUGAAGGAGGAGUUGCAGUGAGCCAAGAUCGCACCACUGCACUGGAGCCUGGGCUACAGAGCAAGACUCUGUCUCAAAAAAAAAAAAGAAAGAAAGAAAGGAAGGAAGGCUGGGCGUGGUGGCUCACGCCUGUAAUCCCAGCACUGUAGGAGGCCAAGGUGGGUGGAUCACAAGGUCAGGAGUUCGAGACCAGCCUGGCCAAUAUGGUGAAACCCCGUCUCCACUAAAAAUACAAAAAUUAUCUGGGUGGCAGGUGCCUGUAAUCCCAGCUACUUGGCAGGCUGAAGCAGGAGAAUCACUUGAACCUGGGAGGUAGAGGUUGCAGUGAGUGAGAUCGCGACACUGCACUCCAGCCUGGGCAACAGAGCAAGACUCCACCUCAAAAAAAAAAACAAAAAAAGAAAAAGAAAAGAAAAAAAUGUUUCCAAAGAAACACUGUUACACAUAGAAUUUAGAUCUACAAAAAUGGUAAUAAUAAUAACAAUAAUAAAAUCAUAUCCAUUUUUAAAACUCUUUUGUGUAAUCCCUUCAGAGAAGCAUAAGUGCUAUUUCCCCCAUUUAAAAGAUGGAAUACUAAGUAGCACAAAGAUAAAGUAAGCAUUAGAGGUGGAAGAAAUCCAGGCCUGCUGACUCAACCCCAGGUUCCUGUUACUGAGUAAAUGGACUUUUGUGGCUAGUCCUGGAUCAGAAUUGUCAGAAUGCAACCUUGCAAGCACUCCUCAUUAUUAGCUCUCCAAUUGCCCUACUUUUUUAUGCAUGGGAACUUUUCAUUCAGCCAUUGGUGGGAAUCUAGAGUAGUCAGCAUAAGCCUAAACAUUUGAAACACAAAUAAAGCUUUAGUGCCGCACUGGGUUUUCUGUUGACUUUUAAGAAGACUAGCUAACAGAGUGAUGAAAAUUGAACUAAGUCACUUUACACCCACUUUGUUUUCUCAUGGAAAAAUUUAAAGCUAUGCGCAAAAUAUUGUGUUGUUUUUCAACAGAGAAUAACAAAGUUACAUGCAAACAUUUUUUUCUAGAUAAGAUGAUUUUUUUUUCUCCCUUAUUUUAAACAAAUAUUUAUAGCUGAGAUUAAAAGCUCAGGCUUUGGAGCCAUACUUCUUCCUAAAGAAACAAAAGGAAACCUUAAGCUUAUCUAAUCAAUGGGAAGAUUCACUGUCGUUAACGGGUGUGGUGGUGUGAACCUAAAGUCCCAACUACCUCGGAGGAUGAGGUGGAAGGAUUGCUUGAGCCUGGGAAGUUGAGGCCAUGAUCAUGCCACUGUACUCCCGGGUAACCAAGUGGGACCCUGCCUCAAAAAAAGGAAGAAGAAGAUAAAUUGUCAAAAGAAUAGUUCUGCCAUUUACUAGCUGGGCAAUCUUAGGCAAUUUAUUUAUUUAUUUGUAAUGUAUUUUUUGAGACAGUCUCAUUCUGUCACCCAAGCUGGAGUGCAGUGGCAUGAUCUUGGCUCACUGCAACCUCCACCUCCCAGGUUCAAGCUACUCCUGCCUCAGCCUCCUGAGUAGCUGAGAUUACAGGUGCAUGCCACCACACUGGGCUAAUUUUUGUAUUUUUAGUAGAGACUGGGUUUCACUGUGUUGACAAGGCCAACCUCAGAAGAUCUAUCCACCUCAGCCUCCCAAAGUGCUGGGAUUACAGGCGUGAGCCACCACACCUGGCCAACCUCAGACAAUUUAUAUAAUCUCUCCAUACCUCAGUUUACUCAUUUAUAAAAUGGAGAAAAUAAUAGUUCCUCCCUCACCAGGUUGUGAGAAUGGAGCAGGCCUGGCACAAAUUAAGUGCUCAGUGAGUGCUGAUGAUUAUUAGGCACAGGCACUGGGUCCUGGGGGGUAUAAGAAUGGGUGAGACCGCUUCUGCCAUCAAGAACUAGCAUAAGAGAAGAUAGAAUGGCACAUGCAGUUAAUUCUAGAACAAAACAGAACCGAGGGUUAAGUAGAGUCAUCCCUCAAAGGAGGGAGAGAUUUUUCUGUCUGGGUGAGUAGAGAAGGCUCUCUGACAAAAUUGUCUUUUAACAUGGGUCUUAAUGAAGGAACAGAAUUUCAGUAAGAGGAAAGAGCUGGGGAACAUUCAAAAGUGAGUCAGAAACAAACAUAAAGACAUGAGAAAAAGCUCUCUGGGCUUACACAAAACCUAUCCUUCCCCGAAGCCUUUCAGAAGAUCCCAAGAAGAAAGGAUCAUAUCCCAAGUCAUAAAAAGUUAACAGAAUGCAAUGAAUUUGAACUUUUAAACCUAGAUGAUGAAGUUUUAUAGGAGAAAACAUAUAAAACUAAAACAAUACCAUUUUUAAAAUAAUGUUUUCAUCAAAUACAAACUUUUUAAGGACUAAGAAAACUUUGGGGAAAGUAAAAAAAUUUAACCUUGAAACCAAAAACAAAUCUGACAUUGAUCACUGUGCUCAGCUUCCCAAAAUAUACUGCAACAUUCCCCUCCUCCCUAAAAUGCAUCUUCAAAAUAUAUAUAUUGUUUCCACUAUUCGUUAGUCAUCAAAUUUUUUUUUCUUUUUAAGAAACAGGUGUCACUAUGUUGCCCAGGCUGGUCUUGAACUUCUGGGCUAAAGCGAUCCUCUUACCUCAGCUUCCCAGAGUCCUGGGAUUACAGGCAUGAGCCACCACUCCCAGCCAACAUCAAAACUUUUAAGUGAUUGCUAGGAUACAGAUCAGCCUAAUUAUUUAUUCACAACUAAAACAAAAUCAGUCCUCAAAAAUAAAAAUGACUUUAUCCACAUGUGCUCGUGCAAAUGCGCCACACUCUGAGAUUAAAUUAUGAGUCCUUUAUUAUGCCAGUGACCAAGAGGUGGCCAACACUCCAAAUUCUCUCAGCCCUUAAGAAAAAGUUAGGUGGUGUUUUAUACCCUAGUUUUGAAGAGGAGGAGGAAUCUAGCUGAAGCAAAUUUUCACAAAAGCGGAGUAAGCAAAAAGUUAAAAGAUAAACUAGUACAUGAGAAAUAAAACAGUGCCAGGUGUGAGGGGUAAAGUUGUCAAAAAAAGACAUACAACUUAUAGAUAAUGGGGUCUUUGGGUGCUCAACAGCACCUGCAUUCCCAAGCUCUGCUGGUACCACUUAACUUGGCCUCUUACCAACAAAUGCAUUCCUGGAGAUGCCCAAUGUCAGCCUGCCCCAGCUGUAUACUACAGUUACAUACUUAAUGGUGGGAAAAUAACUAAAAUGAAGAAGCUAAGAUGGAGUCUGCCCGGCUUAAGGAGCUAACAUAAAGCCUGAACAGCUUUUAGUCUGAGAAAGAGAGAGUUAGUUUUAGCUGGCAAAAAGUAGGUUAUCACACACACAUUUCAGAAACAGUUUAUUUCUACUCAAUUUUGUAUUCCCAGCCAGUGCUUCAAGCAAAAUUAUACAUCAGCUCUCUGAAACUGUAUGGUGAGAGUCUGCUGCCAUCAUUCCCAGUCUCCUUUAGGGAGACUGUUCAAAGGUCACGGGACAAUUAUGUGAGGAAUUCAGCCACAGUUUGAUGGGAGGAUAAAUGAGUGUCUAGAGAAUUGGGAAGUAGCUGGGCACAGUAGCUUAUGUCUAUAAUCCCAGCACUUUGGGAGGCCAAAGCAGGAGGACUGAUUGAAACCAGGAGUUCGAGACCAGACUGGGCCACAAAGCUAGAGCCUGUCUCCACAAAAAAUAAAACAAAAAAAACUAGCUGGGCAUGAUGGUACACACUUGCGGUCCCAACUACUCCGCAGGCUGAGGCAAGAGUAUUGCUUGAACCACGGAGAUAAAGGUGCAGUGAUCACACAAUGACACUCCAGCCUGGGCAAUAGAGUGAGACCUUGUCUCUUAAAAAAAAAUAAAAAGAGAAUUGGGAAGUGAUAGAGGCCUGUAUGGACUGUUUUUCCUACUCCCCACCCCCCAGGAGAACUUUAUUCUCUCCACCUGACUAUGUCCGGAACUCAGAAGACAGGUCUAGGCCAGAGACAAAGAUAAUAGCUACAUUCACUGAGCCCUUAGAAAUGUGGCGGUGACAUGCUAAUGACUUCACAUAUUUUCAUGGAACCCUCAUUUGUUAAGAAAACUGUAGUAAUAUUGUGCCCAUUUUAUUGGUGAAGUUUCUUCAGAGCAGAGGUUGCUUGAUCAGUGGAGCAGGAUCUAAAUCCAGGGGGCCAACCCCAGAGCCCUCCCUCUCAGCCACUGUGCUUUAUUGCCACAAUUCUCAGUCAUCUGCAUACAAAUGGGAAUUGAUAAGGGGAUGGUCCAUUGUUAUCAUCCAAAGCAGGACUCAUGGGUUUGGGGUGUUACUAAUCAUUCUGGGGAAACAGGCAGAAACCAGAACUGUUCGGGGCAAAUAGGGACAUAUGGUUACCUCAUUGCCUGACACUCUGAAAAUGGGUGAACAUCUGAGGAUAAGAAUGUUGAAAAAGUGAAGAAGGGAGCCCUUCAGUGGGCCUUGAGAAAGACUGGGAAGUGGGAGAAGAAAAAGAAAGAGAGAAAGACCAACAUUUGGGAAACUGAAAAAGAGAAAUCCUCAAAAGAUAUUGGGGGAGGGCAGGGUGUCUCAAAUACACGGACUCAAGGGCUGGGUUUCUUAGAGGGAGCAGUCAGUAGCGCCCCCACCCCUCAUGCUGUAAAUACCAAAAAGUGGCCACUGAAAGGAGAAACAAGGAAAGCAUCGGUGAUUUAAUAACAAACAUUUCUUUGCUUUUGCGCAGUCAGAUGCCAAAUUAAAGUAAACGGAGGAGUGAGUGGGAGGUAGGGCCCAGACCUAGACACAGUCAGUGCAAGCAAGUCUUUUUAAAAAUGUGGCCUUGGAGCUGAGGCAAAAGAUAGGACUGUCCUGGAGGUGGAGUCAAAGACGUUUUCUUUCUUUUUCAAAGCAAGAAACCAGAAUGUGUUUAAUGCUAAAAGGAAGGAUCCAGGUCAAGGAGGGUAGAGAAAAUGCAGAAUGCUAAUUAUCCCCUCACUGGGGGAUAUCCUGAAGCAAAGUCCCUGAGCUGCUGAGGGAGCUUUACAACUAAGGAGAUGGAGUUUCGCUCUUGUUGCCCAGGCUGGAGUGCAAUGGCAUGAUCUUGGCUCACUGCAACCUUAGUCUCCCGGGUUCAAGCAAUUCUCCUGCCUUCGCCUCCCAAGUAGCUGAGAUUACAAGAACAUGACCUCCUCUGUCCCUCACAAUUCCCCAGAGCUCCCACAGAACGCUCCAUGACUCAAUUCAAUGCCUUUUGCAUUUCUGCACGUAGCUGCCCAUCACAGGCACUGCUGAAACUCUGAGACAUGCAGAAGAAGGAGUGACCAAGAAAACCAGCCCUGAUGGAAAUGCAUUCCAAUAAGUAGAAUAUAUUCACAUUGGACUUUGGGUUGGGAUUUCCAAAAGAAGGACUGAUUUCAAAGAAAAAUAAAUGUUCCAGGACUAGGUCGGUCGCAAAGAAAGACUUCUCAGCCUUGGAAAAGACAAGGCAUGGGUCCGUGUCUCAGGAUCUGAGAGAGAAUCGUCUCAUUUUCUUUGCCUGUAAGUCUCUGUGCCAUCUCUUGCCCUCUGCCCUUAUGUUAUCUGUGUGUGUAUUUUCUUCACUCUUGUAGAUUGCCAGCUCUCUGAGUGGAGAUCACAUUGUUGCCUUUGCAUUCUCCACAGUGUUAGUCCAGUGCCUGCAACUAACCAGGUCUUCCCUGCUUCUUAAUUGACAGACAGACUUUGUGUAGAAAAAAACACUGAAAAAGCAUUUCAAAAAUAGUUGACUCUCUCUAAUGGGGGUUUUGCUAGCUGGGAAGGUGAUGCAGGGUAACUUCUCAGCAGGGUGUAAAUUUUGAGUGCUAGGGAAAGAGCAGCAUGAUUGGAAGAGAGGCAUAUUUCACUAGGAUACAUUCUGUUAUCUUUGUUUUACAUUUAAAUGAAACAUUUGGGUCUACAUGAAAUUUGGAUGACACAUUAAGGGUAAUUUCCCCAGCAUGAUUCGGAUUGCUGAUUAGAGAGAAUCAAGGUCUCCUGGAGUAUUCUGUUUGUGUUACUGAUUGGUUAAGGGUUGUUUCCCAACUGUGUGGUGAGUUCCAUUUUCCCUUGGAAAACUAAAGAGCAGUGCCCUACGGGCACAGCCAAAGUGAACUCUCUUCAAAAAGUCUAAGCCUGGCAGGGCAUGGUGGCUCACCCCUGUAAUCCCAGCACUUGGGGGGCCAAGGCAGGCAGACGACCUGAGGUCAGGAGUUCAAGAUCAGCCUGCCAACAUGGUAAAAACCUGUCUCUACUAAAAAUACAAAAAUUAGCAGGGUGUGAUGGCACAUGCCUGUAAUCCCAGAUACUCCAGAGGCUGAAGCAGGAGAAUCACUUAAACCUGGGAGGCGGGGAUUGCAGUGAGCGAAGAUUGCACCAUUAUACACCAGCCUGGGUGACACAGUGAGACUCAGUCUAAAAAACAAAAGUCUAAGCCUCUGAGCUGAAGUCCUUGAGUUCUUUUUUUUAAUUAUGUAGGAAGCGAAGAAAUGUCACUGUGUAGUGAAGAAUUAACCUUCUUCAAAAUAAGUCUGGCUUUUGUCCUUGGCUUCUGGAAGGUAAUCUCUACUGUCUUUCUUUGUCUGAGGUAUGGGGGUCACAGUGGACUUUCAGUGCAAUUUAAAGUGGGGACUGAUCUCUCCCAUGUAGCCAUAGGGUUGGAGUUGAAAGACCAACAAUAUGACUUUGGGUGGAGGCUUUGGGUCACCCAGUAUCAGUGGCCUAGAGACUAAAAUCAACCAUGUGGUCAAUCAGUCAAUCAUUUAUGCCCAUGAAAUGGUGUUCCAACAAAAACUGAGCCCUGAGGCUUAGGUGAGCUCUCUUGGUUGGCAGUACUCUGUGUUUAUUGUCACACAUGGAUGCCACAGGGUAUCCUUACUUUAUGGGAAGAAGAUAACAGAAGCUCUGCAUUUGGAACUCUAAUAGACUCUGUCCUAUGUGUCUCUUUUUGGCUAAGCUUAACCUAUACCCUUUCCUUAUAAUAAACCAUAAAUGUGACUAUAACAGCUUUUGGUGAGUCCCAUGUUUCUAGGGAAUACCAAAUCAGAGGGUGAUUUUGGGAAUCCUCUAUAACUGCAAUUGGUGUAAGAAGUGAGGGCAGGUUUGGCGACUAUACCUUCUAACUUUAUAAUUGGCCCUAUACUCCUCACAUACAUCCUCCCAGAAAAACCAGUCCCCAGGCCCUGGGAAUAAGGAAAAACGAACUCUUUCAGAGAAGAUCAGUACUAGAGACGGGGAUCUAAUUUGUGGCCUCAAGCUAUCCUCCUGCCUUGACCUCUGGAAUUACUGGUGUGAGCCACCUUGUCCAAUGCCUCAUUGUAUCUUUAGCAGAGUAGCCAGAGUGAUCCUGUCAAAAUCUGAGUGAUAUCAUGAACACUCCAAUGGCUCUCUUACUCAGGGUAAACGUCAGACUCCUUACGAUGUAACGCAAGACCUGUCUUAUCUUUCUGACCACACUUCUGAACUCUCCCCUUUAUUGACUGUGCUCCAGACAUAGGGGAUUCCAUGCUUUUCCUUGAGCAUUCCAAAGAUACUUGCUGUACUCAGAGGUUUUGGACAUACUGUUCUCUUUUCCUAGAAUGCUUUUCCCCAAAAGUAAUUAUGUGACUUACUGUCUCAUCUCCUUUAAAUCUUCUUCAAAUGUUGUCUCUUCAAAUGAGGUUGACUCUUGCCCUUUUCUUCUUUAUAUAAUGAACCCCAUAUUGAAGUGCCACUGUUCAUAAUUGCAGCAAGCCACCACCUCUCCACUCCUGUCCCAGCACUGGUGAGGUCUAUAACUCUGCACUAAUUUUGGAGAGUCUUUUGUUUGUUCGUUUGUUUGUUUGUUUGUUUGUUGUUUUGAGAUGGGGUCUCACUCUGCCACCCGGGCUGUGGUGCAGUGGCUCAAUCUCAGCUCACUGCAACCUCUGUUUGCUGGGUUCAAGUGAUCCUCACACUUCAACCUCCCAAGUAGCUGGGACCACAGGCAUGCACCACCACACCAGGCUAAUUUUUAUAUUUUUUUGUAGAGAUGGGGUUUUGCCAUGUUGCCCACGCUGGUCUUGAACUCCUGGACUCAAGCAAUCCACACACUUCAGCCUCCCAAAGUGCUGGAAUUAGAGGCAUGAGCCACUGUGCCCAGCCACCCUAUGCUAGUUUUUGUGCAUAACCCUUAUUACCUUUUAAUAUAUGAUAUAGUAAUAUAGGCAUAAAUAUUAUGUUUUUUGU